UGCCUUCCUCCGGGGUGGGAAACAUCUUCCCGUGUGGUUGAGUUGGUCGUGCUCUCCCAGGGAAGGUUACCAUCAGAGGCAGUGAUGUAUGGCGUCUAAAAAAAAAAAGGAGCCAUUUCCAGUCAAAUUCACAGACGCCGUUUCUGCCUUCUUGUGGUCACCCAGGGACAAAAGACCCUGAUCACAGCAAUGCUGUCUCAGGAAAUGUCCUGAAUUGGGGACUGCAGAACAAUAACUGGAGCAAAUCCUGCCAGGAAACACUUUGAAUCUGCUCAGCCACCUUCUCUCCCCUCUGGACCUGGCAGUUCCCCCCCUAUCUCCCUUCCCAAGACAUCCUCACCGCAUCCCUCCACGUGCUCCUCUAUUUUGCUGAUUCCCAUUAAUCUGUGUUUUAUAUAACCUCUGGCU